rnacentral:rRNA from 1 species
ACGAACGCUGGCGGCGUGCUUCACACAUGCAAGUCGAACGCUGAAGCUCAGCUUUUGUUGGGUGGAUGAGUGGCGAACGGGUGAGUAACACGUGAGUAACCUGCCUCCUUCUUUGGGAUAACGCCCGGAAACGGGUGCUAAUACUGGAUAUUCACUGGUCUUCGCAUGGGGGUUGGUGGAAAGGGUUUUUCUGGUGGGGGAUGGGCUCGCGGCCUAUCAGCUUGUUGGUGGGGUGAUGGCCUACCAAGGCUUUGACGGGUAGCCGGCCUGAGAGGGUGACCGGUCACAUUGGGACUGAGAUACGGCCCAGACUCCUACGGGAGGCAGCAGUGGGGAAUAUUGCACAAUGGGCGCAAGCCUGAUGCAGCGACGCCGCGUGAGGGAUGGAGGCCUUCGGGUUGUGAACCUCUUUCGCUCAUGGUCAAGCCGCAACAAUGGUUGUGGUGAGGGUAGUGGGUAAAGAAGCGCCGGCUAACUACGUG